rnacentral:rRNA from 1 species
GGUGAACGCUGGCGGCGUGCUUAACACAUGCAAGUCGAACGAUGAAACCCAGCUUGCUUGGUGGUUUAGUUGCGAACGGGCGAGUAACACGUGAGCAACCCGCCCCUGACUUUUGGGUAAGCGAUGGAGACGGCGUCCAAACCUUGAUAUGUCCCAUCACCUCCUGGUGUGCGCGUGGAAAGAUUUUUCGGUUGGGGAUGGGCUCGGGGGCUAUCGGCUUGUUUGUGUGGUAAUGGCUCACCACGCCAUCGACGGGUAGCCGGCCUGGGAGGGUGGCCGGCCACCAGGGGACUGCGGGACGGCGCAGACUCCUACGGGAGGCAGCAGUGGGGAAUAUUGCACAAUGGGCGGAAGUCUGAUGCAGCAGCGCCGCGUGAGGGAUGACGGCCUUCGGGUUGUAAACCUCUUUUAGCAGGGAAGAAGCGAAAGUGACGGUACCUGCAGAAAAAGCACCGGCUAACUACGUG